AGUGAACGCUGGCGGUAGGCCUAACACAUGCAAGUCGAACGGCAGCACAGUAAGAGCUUGCUCUUACGGGUGGCGAGUGGCGGACGGGUGAGGAAUACAUCGGAAUCUACUUUUUCGUGGGGGAUAACGUAGGGAAACUUACGCUAAUACCGCAUACGACCUACGGGUGAAAGCAGGGGAUCUUCGGACCUUGCGCGAUUGAAUGAGCCGAUGUCGGAUUAGCUAGUUGGCGGGGUAAAGGCCCACCAAGGCGACGAUCCGUAGCUGGUCUGAGAGGAUGAUCAGCCACACUGGAACUGAGACACGGUCCAGACUCCUACGGGAGGCAGCAGUGGGGAAUAUUGGACAAUGGGCGCAAGCCUGAUCCAGCCAUACCGCGUGGGUGAAGAAGGCCUUCGGGUUGUAAAGCCCUUUUGUUGGGAAAGAAAAGCAGCAGCUUAAUACCCCGCUGUUCUGACGGUACCCAAAGAAUAAGCACCGGCUAACUUCGUG
rnacentral:rRNA from 1 species